rnacentral:rRNA from 1 species
CCUACGGGCGGCUGCAGUGGGGAAUCUUGCGCAAUGGGCGAAAGCCUGACCCAGCCAUGCCGCGUGAAUGAUGAAGGUCUUCGGAUUGUAAAAUUCUUUCACCUGGGACGAUAAUGACGGUACCCGGAGAAGAAGCCCCGGCUAACUUCGUGCCAGCAGCCGCGGUAAUACGAAGGGGGCUAGCGUUGCUCGGAAUUACUGGGCGUAAAGGGUGCGUAGGCGGACAUGUAAGUCAGAGGUGAAAUCCCAGGGCUCAACUCUUGAACUGCCUUUGAUACUGGGUGUAUUGAGUGUAAGAGAGGUAUGUGGAACUCCGAGUGUAGAGGUGAAAUUCGUAGAUAUUGGGAAGAACACCAGUGGCGAAGGCGACAUACUGGCUCGUUACUGACGCUGAGGUGCGAAAGCGUGGGGAGCAAACAGGAUUAGAUACCCGAGUAGUC